AUACGGAAGGUCCGGGCGUUAUCCGGAUUUAUUGGGUUUAAAGGGAGCGCAGGCGGAGAUGCAAGCGUGACGUCAAAUUUCGGGGCUCAACCCCGUCUCGCGUCGCGAACUGCGUCCCUUGGUUGCGGGAAGGGGAGGCGGAACUCGUGGGGUAGCGGUGAAAUGCAUAGAUAUCACGAAGAACUCCGAUCGCGAAGGCAGCCUUCCGGCCCGUCAACGACGCUCAUGCUCGAAGGUGCGGGUAUCAAACAGGAUUAGAUACCCUGGUAAUCCGCACAGUAAACGAUGGACACCCGCGGUUUGGCCUGUAUGGCUGAGCCGCCAAGCGAAAGCGUUAAGUGUCCCACCUGGGGAGUACGCCGGCAACGGUGAAACUCAAAUGAAUUGACGGGG
rnacentral:rRNA from 1 species